rnacentral:rRNA from 1 species
UACGUAGGGUGCGAGCGUUGUCCGGAAUUAUUGGGCGUAAAGAGCUCGUAGGCGGUGUGUCACGUCGGCCGUGAAAACCUGGGGCUUAACUCUGGGCGUGCGGUCGAUACGGGCAUCACUAGAGUUCGGCAGGGGAGACUGGAAUUCCUGGUGUAGCGGUGAAAUGCGCAGAUAUCAGGAGGAACACCAAUGGCGAAGGCAGAUCUCUGGGCCGUAACUGACGCUGAGGAGCGAAAGCAUGGGGAGCUAACAGG